rnacentral:rRNA from 1 species
UACGGAGGUGGCAAGCGUUGCUCGGAUUCAUUGGGUGUAAAGGGUCGGUAGGCGGUUCUAUAAGUGCUUGGUAAAAUCCCGCAGCUUAACUGCGGAACGCCCAGGUAGACUGUAGAACUUGAGGGCUGGAGAGGCAGACGGAAUUCCCGGUGUAAGGGUGAAAUCUGUAGAUAUCGGGAGGAACACCAGAGGCGAAGGCGGUCUGCUGGACAGCAUCUGACGCUGAGCGACGAAAGCGUGGGGAGCAAACAGG